rnacentral:sRNA from 14 species
AUCUGUCUGUAAAAUCUGUCAUCCCAUUGGUCCCAGUGUUGACUAGGGUUAUCUGCAUGGAUAAGCAGAUGUUCAUUU